CAUGUUGCUUCUAAAUUUCCACAAGUCUUUUGUAAACUUCUGUGAAAAGGUGUUAAGGCAUGAGCAUUGCUCAUAGUCCCAGACUUGUGAUAGUCUGGUAGAAAUGUAUAUCCCGGAUCGGUGUGCUCUGGUGGAAGUGUUGUUACGUCAGGCUAGACUUUGAUUAGAUGUUGUUAUUUGUGUUUCCAAAAAUUGUAUAAUACGUUUAUUAUCAAUAAGAUAAACACUU
rnacentral:lncRNA from 1 species